UAAACAUUGAGUUCUACUAAAAACCCAAUUUAACCAGUAACUGCAAUUAACUUAAAAUUUUUUUUUACCAAGUUGGUUUCUUGUAGAGCCUUCAUGAAAUGAUGUUUGAUCAAAUAUUUAAGCUUCAUGCACGGAGAUACCUCAUAAACUGGCACACGCUAACUCUAGCUCGUGUCUACAGGUUCCAUUACAACACAAGACAAACCCUUUUACUGACCAUUGUUUCCUCCUGCCUCACACCACUAGUUUUAUGAAACACUGUCAUGUAUCCAUGCUAUUUUUGAGGGAGCAGCUGGCCUCAUUCUUUUUUCAUGGCACACCAUCACCACGGCAGAUAACCAUCCGGCUGCCAUGUGAAGUGUGAGAUAAAUGUGAAGUUUGGCUCACACCGCUGACUUGUCCAGAAGAGCAGAGGGGAAGAAAGAGACUUGCAGCGAUGUAGUCUGAAUAGUUCACUGCAGCUGUAUAAUUGGCUGAAAUGAGGGAUGAGGGCCACCUGCUGACUGUUUCAUUUAGAGCUGCUUUACAUGGAAAUGUUCAGUGUUGCUUGAGAAGCACAGAAAGAGGCAAAGAAGAAGUGUGAGCAACACAAUUAGCAAUACCCUCACCUCUGACUGAUUUACAAGAUAACUUUCUCACUGCCUACACUCUUAUCACCAUUAAUACAUUUAAAUGAAAGGUUUAAGAUAGUAACUCAUGUGAGGAUUAUUAUGCCUCUAUGGACCUCUUCCAAAAAAAUAGUAUAUCAUGGAAAAGUGUUUUCAAUUCUAUAAUUUCAUUUUUAAGUUAAACUUUCAUAGAAUUUAGUUCCGGGGCCAACUACUUCAUUGAUUUCACAUGUUUGUUUACUUUUACAUAAAUUGGGAACAUAAAACAGGACUUUAGCAAAUUAGAAUACUGUGGAGAAAUCACCAUUUACUUAUGAGUUCUUGUAAAAAAAAAAAAAAAAAA